ACAUAUGUCCCAGAUAUCAUUUGUGGGAAUAUUAUUGCUCUCAUUUCCACUUUACUUUCUUGUGGCCACAAAACAAGUCACAUGUUUGACAUGGGGCCUUAGGAUGUGUGGAGGAUAAAGGUUUCUUACCAACUCACUGAGUUGAUAAAACUGCUUUUAUUUGAUGCUGCUUAGAAAGAAACUACUAGAAAGCCUAAAAUAUGAAUAAGUUUCUGGAGAGGAGGAGAAGCAGGAGACACUGUGAACCUGAUGUCUAGCUCAAGCUCUGCCCCAGAAGCUGUGUCCCCGUAGGCAAGAGGAAGAAAGAAUGCUCCAAAGUGGAAAGCUAUAUGAUCAACAUCACCUGACAGAAGAUAGCAGACAUUCUUUAAAUUGCUGGCUUAUCUGAAAACUUAUACUGAGUGUUGGAAAAAGAAGAAGAAGAAGAAGAAGAAGAAGAAGAAGAAGAAGAAGAAGAAGAAGAAGAAGAAGAAGAAGAAGAAAUAAUGACUUGCUUCUCCUGAGCUUGGACAUGCUUAAUUGCAUGAAAAAUCACAUCAACAGCCGAGCAAGAUGUCUCAGUGACUGUUUGCCACCAAGCCGUCAGGAACUACAACAGUAGUUCAUUCCUGAGAGCCAUGUGGUAGAAGGAGAGAUGUGACUCUCACAAGUCAUCCCAGGAGACACAGACACACACACACACACACACACACACACACAAAUAUAUGUAAUUAAAAAAGAAAAUUAUAUACUUAAACAAUAUGAAUGACCAUUCUACCUCAGUAGUCCACAACUGUAACAGGGACUGUGAGUGCAUGGAUUUAGGGAAAGGGACAGUAGACGGCUAGACUUUAGACUUUCAUGUUCAAUUUUAUAUCCAGGUGCUGCUUGUCGGUGCCAAAUGUGGAUCUUUAUUUUUCAGUGUAAAGUAAAAUUCAAAACACAGUUUCAAAAACAGCCACUGAUUGAAUACUCUUCUGCUAAUAGCAUUUUCAUACACUGAAAGAUAAAACUCUGGCCCUGGGCAAAUGUUAAGAACAGUCUUGUGCAGUCUGUUCAACAAACUGAGUGUGUUCUGAGUGCUUCUGACAUGACACAAGGAAUUAGUUGCCUCGCAUUCAAACGCGGUUCGCAGGCACACUUUUAAAAAUAUUACCCAACCCCGGUUAAGUUCAAACAACCGCUGGCAAUGCAUGAUUUAUCCAGAGGGUACUACAGAAACUCAGGUGAUCAGCUUGAAGUUCCCAGUCAAGGGAGAAUCGGACUUCAUAGAAACAGCAGGGAAAUCUUGGCUGCCCCCUUGCAGUGUUGACCUUCAGAAGGCUAGCAGGCUCGAUGACAUUGCCAGGCUCAGUGCUCUGAAACCACACUCUCUUCUCCUCUACGACAGCUGAGAGAUCGGUUUCAGUCCCGGAGCAUUAAGUUAACUGUAAUCUCCUUCACCUGCUGAUGUUGCAACGAGGCUUCAAACGCUACUCUGACCUCCAGGAAGUAGAAUUGCCGGAGAAAUGAAGCUUUCCACUUCCUACUUAAAAGAAGAUUGCUUCAAAACCUCCUUAAUCUUCUCUUCCAGAGCACGUGUGGCAUUACUGAAGCAGAGCAAGAAGAGCCCAUCCUCCAGUGAAACCACCGCAGGCUAUCAUACUCAUUUUUAUGUUCUAGAGUGGGGGAUGGGGAGCGGACUGGGGAAUCGGCAAGGCCUAACUGCUCCUAACUUCUAGCAGUGGAAUAUCUGAGAUGAAACAAUUGGAAAGAAGCAGCCUGUCUCCUGGACAGCAGAGAGUGUGGAGAAUACGACUGUCACUGUCAGGAAUGAGAAGCUUUUCCUGCUACCUUUCUUUGCUGCGAGUCCCAGACAACGCACAGAUAUCCUCUCAGUUCGUAAAGAGAUACGUGAGAUCCUGAGCUCACUGAAAAACGCCUUUGACCUCUAGACCUGCGCUUCUAAACCCUAAGCGACUUGGCUAUGUUUCUCAAUGUCUGGAGACCUUUGAGUUAUCACAGCUCCAGAGUGAGUUGGACAGUGAAGAAGAGUGCUGCUGGGUCGGGUCGCUAAAUGGUCAGCGCGGCUAUACGUUUCCGUGCCCAGCGUAGCUCUCCACAACAAAGAACUCUCUAGCAUGAAAUGUUAACCAUGAAGAGACUGAGAAAUCCUUAUAUAGAUUCUGCUUCACUUCAAAGGGAAGUCAGGCAGUUUACGAGCCUCUCUGUAUGCCCUAAGGAUACUGUGAGCUCUGAGGAUGAAGGAUCCUGGAUGCCAUUCUCAGACAUGUUUACACUAUUCCAUAUUUGUGAAGCUUAAGGAAAGAAAAUCAGCCAUGCUCAUAAUGCAAACAUCCCAGAAGAGACUAACGAUGACCAGUGAGAACCAAAUAGCAAGAAGAGAUGAAUAC